rnacentral:rRNA from 1 species
UACGUAGGGCGCAAGCGUUGUCCGGAAUUAUUGGGCGUAAAGAGCUCGUAGGCGGCUUGUCACGUCGGGUGUGAAAGCCCGGGGCUUAACCCCGGGUCUGCAUUCGAUACGGGCUAGCUAGAGUGUGGUAGGGGGAGAGCGAAUUCCUGGUGUAGCGGUGAAAUGCGCAGAUAUCAGGAGGAACACCGGUGGCGAAGGCGGGAACUCUGGGGCCAUUACUGACGCUGAGGAGCGAAACGCGUGG